UUUAUGAAACUUUUGAGUAUUUUUCU
rnacentral:tRNA from 1 species